rnacentral:rRNA from 1 species
UACGAAGGGGGCUAGCGUUGCUCGGAAUGACUGGGCGUAAAGGGCGCGUAGGCGGAUGGCACAGUCAGAUGUGAAAUUCCCGGGCUUAACCUGGGGGCUGCAUUUGAUACUGGAUGGCUUGAGUUUGGGAGAGGGAUGCGGAAUUCCAGGUGUAGCGGUGAAAUGCGUAGAUAUCUGGAGGAACACCGGUGGCGAAGGCGGCAUCCUGGACCAACACUGACGCUGAUGAGCGAAAGCCAGGGGAGCAAACGGG